UUUUUGGAAUGCAAGUUUGAAUUAAACUAUAGAACAAAGUUAUAUCUAUAUCAUUAACAUACAAAGUUUAAAACUGUUUAGUAAGCAAUUAAAUACAGAAGUUAAUAUAAUACAUUAACUAGUUGAGUAUACAUACAUAUAUAAAUAACCAUCAAAUUCUAAAGUAAAAGUAAAGUAAAAUAAAACAUAAAGGAAAAAACCAAAAACAUAUAUCUAUAGAACGCAUACAUCUAAAUUAGCUCAGAGCUAGUAGGGCCACUGCUCAGGGGUCAGAAAGCUUAACUCAAGAAAUCAUAAAAGGUUCCUUAAGGUAACAGGAUAAGCCAGGUCUUGGUAGAGAAUAACACAAAGGUAUCAUCAGUCUACCUUAAACAUCUCUACAUGUUAGAUGUACAGAAAUGCCCCAUAAGGUAACUCACCAUUACAACUGUUCUGUCACACACCACUUCCAGGAGGAAGGAAGCAACACAAGGCUUUCAUCAUUAAUUGUGUCCUUAAGGUGCACCAUUCUUCCUAAAUCAAUAGCUUCAAAGGUAGUAAGGCCUUUAGAGCCAUUGACAUGUCUUAUUAGAGAGCAUGCCCCCAGUUUAUUAUUAAAUCUUGCUCAUAGGCCCUCGUUGACAAGGCAGUAGUUAAUCUACCCGCAGCUAUAUCUGCUCUAUGCUCCCAUAUCCUUUUUUCCAAGCUCCUAGAGGUACUCCCGAUAUAGCACUGUUCCAUACCUUCAUCAUUAUUAUAGAGGGGAAUAGAAUAUACCCCCCAAUCUUCUGUUUUCUGGGAUAUGAUCUUUUUCAUUUCGCAACACGUUAAACACAGUAGGUCCUCUCGUGCAAGCCAUCCAAUAUCUCCCUUCAUUCCUAUUCUUAGUUAGAACUCUAUCAGUUAGAACUAUACCAAUAAAAUAACUUUGGUGAUACUUGCUUGUAGAGCAUUUAUAGAU
rnacentral:lncRNA from 1 species